GAUUAAAGUUGGGCAAUUGCUGCUUAAGGAGAAUAAACUUGAGUAGAGGAAAGUCCGAACUCCAGAGAACGCGGUGCCGGGUAACUCCCGGAGGCUGACUUGCGCAAGCUGUCGGCUAUGGACAAGCGCCACAGAAAAGAUACCGUCCCGACUUUGUCGGGAUAAGGGUGAAAAGGCAGGGUAAGAGCCUACCGCUUCUAUAGUAAUAUAGGAGGUUCAUAUUUGAAGUAUUCUAUGACGAAUAUCAGGGCAAACCCCAUCGGGAGCAAGGUCAAGCAGAAAGACCCUCCGCUUGCGGAGGCAAAGUUGUUCGCUUUGAAGUUCUUUCGGGUGGACCGCUUGAGCUCGACAGUAAUGCCGAGCCCAGAUAAAUAAUUGCCGUCCCGAUUUUUUUCGGGAUUACAAAAUUCGGCUUACAGACUUUAAUUAUCA
rnacentral:RNase_P_RNA from 1 species